AUGAUGGCCUCCGGCUCGAACUCGUCAUCACCAGUAGAACGAGGCUUUCACUUAAUGAGUUGCCUAAAAGAAGUUCCGACACUCAGAGGUGACAAUCACACUGAGUGGAGGAAGAAAGUAGAACUGGCAUUUGUUUGUGCUGAUCUGGACUGGGUUGUGGAUGAACCACAACUGGUCAGACUUGCAGAGCCAGUAAGAGAGGCCACUGAUGAUGAUAUUGCGUGGUCUAAAAAGAGGGAGGGACUAUGCACCUUUGGAGAUGUCAUACAUCAUAGAAAACCAAAAAUGGGUCAAUGCAAACAAAAAGUGCAUGUCAUUUAUAAAGAAUACAAUCGAGAGCACCAUUGUGGGCUCCAUUGCAGAUUGCACUUCCGCAGGAGAGUUGCUUGCAAAGAUAAAGAGCCAGUUCACUGGCUCUUCAAAGAUAUAUGCCACCCAGGUGUUAAAACAACUGGUGGCAGAACACUACACAGGUGGUGGAAUAAGAGAGCACAUCCUCAGGAUGAGCAAUAUGGCAGCAAAGCUAAAGCCCAUGGAUAA
rnacentral:rRNA from 1 species